UUUGGUGUGGCCCAAGUUGUGACCCAUGGUCCAUUGGUAAAAAACGGUCACGUCUUGUCCCAGCACGUGCAUCGAGUGUGCCCGUGCUUGCGUUGGAAUGUACGGUACAGUCGUGGGCAGAAGUAGUGACUGUAACCCGAGAAACGAAUCGACUACCGACCGGCCUACUGGAUGUUGGCGCGAGCGUCACGUCAAACUGUUGUGUAGUCGAUGACACGGAUGUCUUCUUUAUGGCCGCGAUUAGAUUGUGGGACGAGGGCAGGGAACCGUUUAUUUGGACGAGUGGUUAGGAGGACGACUAGUUUUUGGGGAAAUUUGGGAGAAAGCGGCCCUCACAACACCAGUUUUUGCAUUUACUCAAAAUUACUCAUCCUCGUUUAAAAUAAAUACGUAUAUAGUUU